rnacentral:rRNA from 1 species
GAUGAACGCUGGCGGCGUGCCUAAUACAUGUAAGUCGAGCGAACAGAUGAGGAGCUUGCUCCUCUGACGUUAGCGGCGGACGGGUGAGUAACACGUGGAUAACCUACCUAUAAGACUGGGAUAACUUCGGGAAACCGGAGCUAAUACCGGAUAAUAUAUUGAACCGCAUGGUUCAAUAGUGAAAGACGGUUUUGCUGUCACUUAUAGAUGGAUCCGCGCCGCAUUAGCUAGUUGGUAAGGUAACGGCUUACCAAGGCAACGAUGCGUAGCCGACCUGAGAGGGUGAUCGGCCACACUGGAACUGAGACACGGUCCAGACUCCUACGGGAGGCAGCAGUAGGGAAUCUUCCGCAAUGGGCGAAAGCCUGACGGAGCAACGCCGCGUGAGUGAUGAAGGUCUUCGGAUCGUAAAACUCUGUUAUUAGGGAAGAACAAAUGUGUAAGUAACUAUGCACGUCUUGACGGUACCUAAUCAGAAAGCCACGGCUAACUACGUG